rnacentral:lncRNA from 1 species
AACGCGCUUGGGGGGUCACUUUUGAGGUCAAGAAAGCUUUGUUCUUUUGCUCUUUGCAACAAAACUUGUUGCUGCUCGCUCUUUUGGGUUCUCACUGCGUUUAUGAGCUGCAGCACUUACCACAAAGGUCUGUAGCUUCACUCCUGAAGCCUGCGAGACCACGAAUCCACCGGGAGGAACGAAUAACUCCAGAUGUGGUGCCUUAAGAGCUAUAGCACUCACUGUGAAGGUCUGCAGCUUUGCUCUUGAGCUAGCUAGACCACGAACCCACCAGAAGGAAAAAACUCCGAACACAUCUGAGCAUCAGAAGGAACAAACUCUGGACACGCUGCCUUUAAGAACUGUGAUAUUCACUGCGACGGUCCGCGGCUUCAUUCUUGAAGUCAGACCAAGAACCCACCAAUUCUGGAUAUAGGUAAUGCUAGCAGGGACUGUCUGGAUUUACGGCUCGGAGUUGGUUAGUUGUUCAGGGUGGUUCAAAGGUUUUGGCAGAGUUCAAAGACUGGGAAGCAAAGUUCAGCCAUGUUGGGCCUUUGGGCUCAUAGAUGAGCAAGGGUACCCCAA